AAAUUGAAAUUGAGACUCCAUUUGGUUUGAAAAUCCAAGACAUUGAGUAUGAUUGGAAACCAGAAUUUUGUAACCAUUGCUUGAAGUUUGGGCAUAAUUCAAUGGACUGUUGGAAUAACAGUCAUACUGAUGGAAAACAAGAGCAGGAAGUUCAAGAAAAUCUGGCUAGAAAUAAGGUGAGGAACAAACAGCCAAGGCAGAAAUGGAU
rnacentral:lncRNA from 1 species